rnacentral:rRNA from 1 species
AGUGAACGCUGGCGGUAGGCCUAACACAUGCAAGUCGAACGGCAGCACAGGAGAGCUUGCUCUCUGGGUGGCGAGUGGCGGACGGGUGAGGAAUACAUCGGAAUCUACUCUGUCGUGGGGGAUAACGUAGGGAAACUUACGCUAAUACCGCAUACGACCUACGGGUGAAAGCAGGGGACCUUCGGGCCUUGCGCGAUUGAAUGAGCCGAUGUCGGAUUAGCUAGUUGGCGGGGUAAAGGCCCACAAAGGCGACGGUCCGUAGCUGGUCUGAGAGGAUGAGCAGCCACACUGGAACUGAGACACGGUCCAGACUCCUACGGGAGGCAGCAGUGGGGAAUAUUGGACAAUGGGCGCAAGCCUGAUCCAGCCAUACCGCGUGGGUGAAGAAGGCCUUCGGGUUGUAAAGCCCUUUUGUUGGGAAAGAAAUCCAGCUGGCUAAUACCCGGUUGGGAUGACGGUACCCAAAGAAUAAGCACCGGCUAACUUCGUGCCAGCAGCCGCGGUAA